rnacentral:rRNA from 1 species
CUGAUGCGUUGUUGGGUAGGGGAGCGUUCUGUAAGCCUGUGAAGGUGUGCUGUGAGGCAUGCUGGAGGUAUCAGAAGUGCGAAUGCUGACAUAAGUAACGAUAAAGCGGGUGAAAAGCCCGCUCGCCGGAAGACCAAGGGUUCCUGUCCAACGUUAAUCGGGGCAGGGUGAGUCGACCCCUAAGGCGAGGCCGAAAGGCGUAGUCGAUGGGAAACAGGUUAAUAUUCCUGUACUUGGUGUUACUGCGAAGGGGGGACGGAGAAGGCUAUGUUGGCCGGGCGACGGUUGUCCCGGUUUAAGCGUGUAGGCUGGUUUUCCAGGCAAAUCCGGAAAAUCAAGGCUGAGGCGUGAUGACGAGGCACUACGGUGCUGAAGCAACAAAUGCCCUGCUUCCAGGAAAAGCCUCUAAGCAUCAGGUAACAUCAAAUCGUACCCCAAACCGACACAGGUGGUCAGGUAGAGAAUACCAAGGCGCUUGAGAGAACUCGGGUGAAGGAACUAGGCAAAAUGGUGCCGUAACUUCGGGAGAAGGCACGCUGAUAUGUAGGUGAAGUCCCUCGCGGAUGGAGCUGAAAUCAGUCGAAGAUACCAGCUGGCUGCAACUGUUUAUUAAAAACACAGCACUGUGCAAACACGAAAGUGGACGUAUACGGUGUGACGCCUGCCCGGUGCCGGAAGGUUAAUUGAUGGGGUCAGCGCAAGCGAAGCUCUUGAUCGAAGCCCCGGUAAACGGCGGCCGUAACUAUAACGGUCCUAAGGUAGCGAAAUUCCUUGUCGGGUAAGUUCCGACCUGCACGAAUGGCGUAAUGAUGGCCAGGCUGUCUCCACCCGAGACUCAGUGAAAUUGAACUCGCUGUGAAGAUGCAGUGUACCCGCGGCAAGACGGAAAGACCCCGUGAACCUUUACUAUAGCUUGACACUGAACAUUGAGCCUUGAUGUGUAGGAUAGGUGGGAGGCUUUGAAGUGUGGACGCCAGUCUGCAUGGAGCCGACCUUGAAAUACCACCCUUUAAUGUUUGAUGUUCUAACGUUGACCCGUGAUCCGGGUUGCGGACAGUGUCUGGUGGGUAGUUUGACUGGGGCGGUCUCCUCCUAAAGAGUAACGGAGGAGCACGAAGGUUGGCUAAUCCUGGUCGGACAUCAGGAGGUUAGUGCAAUGGCAUAAGCCAGCUUGACUGCGAGCGUGACGGCGCGAGCAGGUGCGAAAGCAGGUCAUAGUGAUCCGGUGGUUCUGAAUGGAAGGGCCAUCGCUCAACGGAUAAAAGGUACUCCGGGGAUAACAGGCUGAUACCGCCCAAGAGUUCAUAUCGACGGCGGUGUUUGGCACCUCGAUGUCGGCUCAUCACAUCCUGGGGCUGAAGUAGGUCCCAAGGGUAUGGCUGUUCGCCAUUUAAAGUGGUACGCGAGCUGGGUUUAGAACGUCGUGAGACAGUUCGGUCCCUA